AACUGCUGUCGACAUGUGCGCUAAAUGAGAAAAUGUUAUAUUUGUUUACCUGUCUGACAAUGUAUUACAGUGACAGUUUUUUUUCUGGGCUGUACAUGAAUCUUCAAAUUUAGUGCAAGAAGACGUACAGACUAGACCUUUUUACUGUUAACGGAUAGAUCCAUAACUACCGCUCAGCAACCAGACACGGAAAUGACAUUUGAAUCUUUUGCGCUUCACUGAGCUAUGGCAAGGAUAAUGAAAGGAGCAGAAUUUGGUUAUGACGCAUGCUUUCUCGAUGUCCAGAUAUUUUGAAGAGGUGCCAAAUGUAAAUGCGUAUUUGAUAUACAGUUAAAGGGAAGUAAAUGAAAUAAGAUGUUACAUACUCUCUCUGUACAUCUGUUUACACUGUCCUAUAACUUUGGAACAUGAAGCUGAUUAAGAGUGAGGCAGGGUGCACCAGAGACUGAUGCUAAUAUAUACCAGCCAUACUAAACUGACUGUAGUGUGACAACAGUGAUACAGGAGCAAAAGCUGAACAGUUAAAACAAAAUGUAAUUUAGAUGUAAUACAAUGACAUUUGUGUGGUGAUGGUAUUAACGGUUAAAGGGAAGUAAGUAAAAUUUGAAUAAUGGUACUCUCUUUGUAUAUUGGUUUUUCUCUCGAGACGUCGAUAAAAAUGACUUCUUGGUAAUUGCAAAUUUUGUGACAGAAAAGUACGAAAAAAUUGUGAAUCUAUUUCCUAUUGUCCAAGAGAAUUCUCCUUAAAAUUGGUCAUAAGUAGGGCAUAACAGUCUGAAAAAAAAAACAUCAAAAAUUGCUCGUUUGCUCGGAUGUUAAAAUUCUAUUUACAAGAACGUGUAGGAUUACAAGCAAGUAUUAGAUUAUGCAAAGAACCUCUACAAAACACUGACAAUGACUUAUGAAUCAUUAAAAGACAAUAGCAGACGUAGACUGGUAAUAAUAAAAUAUUUUUCUAAUAUCACCCAUAUUUUUGCAAAGAUGAUCAGAGAAGAUUUAUAGCA